CCCACAUUAAUCCCCAAGCCUCAAAAUGUGUAAUGUUGACAUCUUUAAACCCCAGGAGAUGGGGUGGAGGGUUGCAUAGAAAGAUAGUGGUGGUGUAGGAGAGUCUUUGAAUUAACAUGUCUAUUCUGGAACAGGGCUCACCAGCUUCUCUCCUUGUGAGCCUCACCCUUUAUUUUUUCAGAGGCCAUUGCUUAGAGUAACUUGAAUUCAUUUUUGUGUGUUGCUAAUUAUUUGAUGUGUUGGUUUAUAACUAUCGUGAAGCAAAAAGUUAUGUUCUUCGUCCCAUUUCAGAGGAUCUUAGACAGCACAAGGGUUCUAGAAAGUGAGCCUUGCUACCUGACCACACUGUCCCGCAGCCGUUGAAGAAGUUAGUUGGGCCUCAGUUUCCCCACCUGUAUGCAGGGAUUUGGGACUGAUUGCUGAGGUCCUUUCCGGCUCUGACUUCCUCUGACCGAAUGAGAUAAUGUGUGAAAAUACUUUGUAAGCGCUAAAGCCGAGAACGACUGUCAGAUAUUAUAUUAUUCCGAUUCUAAUCAAUCCUCUUUUCUCCACACGGAUCUUGGCCGUUUAGCGUCAGCAAGCUGGCUAAAGAGGGCCCAAGCGAGAAAGCUUAGCCGUGAUGGGAAGGCUCUGCUGGGGAUAGAAAGUCCCUGCAUCUCCAGAAAUAUUCUGUCUGUGCUCUGGAAAGCUCCAUGGGUAAUGGUGUGUCAAAGGGGGAGCAGCAAGAUGCACCAGGACCCAUUUCAGCCUGUGCAGAGGGUGUGUUUCUUCAAAAGCAGUAUUUGUUUUCCGAGUGACUGACACCGGAAGGCGAUUUGCAUUUUGUGUUUUCCCAGGGAGAAUGGAGAGAGCAAGGUGUAGCUGAUUAGCAAGUUAAUUAUUUCAGUACCCCAAGGGUUCAUGCGUGGUGGAGAUGGCCUUGGGAGAGCAACCUCCGGACCUCAGCAGUGUGAGGAUGACAACAGUACCCUGUGGUGCUGUCCCCACUCAGGUUGGCUGCCAUCCCUGCUGAUGGAGAGAGGCUGAAGUCUGUCUGAGAAGAUAGUGCAGGCAGCUACUUAGCUGGUACUAAUUGUAUUUGCAGAGUAGGGGGUUUCUCUCUGUAGCCCCGACUGUCCUGGAACUCACUCUGCAGACCAGGCUGUCCUCAAGCUCAGAGAUCUACCUGCCUCUGCCUCUGAAGUACUGGGAUUAAAG
rnacentral:lncRNA from 1 species